rnacentral:lncRNA from 13 species
CUUGGCUUAAAUGCAACUGAUGCAAAGUCGGAUGAUGGGAGCAAGUCUACAUGUGAAGGCCAGGGACAUUUUUGCCUCUCAGGAGGCAGUACCUGGAAACCGGUUUGAUUGUCAUGACUUGGAGGUGGUGCUACUGGUAUGUAGUAAGUAGAGGUUAAGUGUGCUGCUAAAUAUCCUACAACAUUCAGGAAAGGGCUCUCCCUCCCCCAACAAAGAAAUAUCCAGCCCCGAAUAUUGAUAGCACCAAUGUGGAGCAUUCUGGUUUAUAUGAUAAAGAUAAUCUAUCUUAAAACAACAGGCUACAAACACCUAAAAAUAAAAAAUUGUAAGUGAGAACA